AUUGAACGCUGGCGGCAGGCCUAACACAUGCAAGUCGAACGGUAACAGGAAGAAGCUUGCUUCUUUGCUGACGAGUGGCGGACGGGUGAGUAAUGUCUGGGAAACUGCCUGAUGGAGGGGGAUAACUACUGGAAACGGUAGCUAAUACCGCAUAACGUCGCAAGACCAAAGAGGGGGACCUUCGGGCCUCUUGCCAUCGGAUGUGCCCAGAUGGGAUUAGCUAGUAGGUGGGGUAACGGCUAACCUAGGCGACGAUCCCUAGCUGGUCUGAGAGGAUGACCAGCCACACUGGAACUGAGACACGGUCCAGACUCCUACGGGAGGCAGCAGUGGGGAAUAUUGCACAAUGGGCGCAAGCCUGAUGCAGCCAUGCCGCGUGUAUGAAGAAGGCCUUCGGGUUGUAAAGUACUUUCAGCGGGGAGGAAGGGAGUAAAGUUAAUACCUUCGCUCAUUGACGUUACCCGCAGAAGAAGCACCGGCUAACUCCGUG
rnacentral:rRNA from 1 species